CAGGUACGACGGUAACAAGACCUGCAGCUGCGACUCGCACCUUGUAUGCCUCCGGUUCAAAAAAGCUGAUCGGAGCCUACGAAAACAAAUCGAAACAGAAAACCAAUUAUUGUACAUGAAUCAGACGUUACUGAGGUGAUGGUAAAAUGCUUGUGGAACAUGUAUGAAAGCGUAUUGUUACAUCUUAUCGUCAAAAGCGUCGAUUAAUGAUGAAAAGUAUGAAUGGGGCGGCUUACCUUCACUGAGGAUUGGUUACAUGGAGGAAGAAGCA